UACGUAGGGACCGAGCGUUGUCCGGAAUCAUUGGGCGUAAAGAGCGUGUAGGCGGCUUGCUAAGUCUUGCGUGAAAUCUCGGGGCUCAACCCCGAGCGGUCGUGGGAAACUGGCAGGCUAGAGUGCGGGAGAGGAGAAUGGAAUUCCUGGUGUAGCGGUGAAAUGCGCAGAUAUCAGGAAGAACACCCGUGGCGAAGGCGGGUCUCUGGGCAGUAACUGACGCUGAGGAGCGAAAGCGUGGGGAGCGAACAGG
rnacentral:rRNA from 1 species